rnacentral:lncRNA from 1 species
CACAGCCAUGCCAGUCCACAGUAACUAUGCCACUUGCCAAACAAGUCAUCAUGAGGUCAGUGAAUCAUACUCUAGAUGAACAAUAAGCCUCACCUGGGAGUGCCUGCUACAAGAUAAGAUGGUGCUAAAAGAGUGUUACUAUAGAUUAUGUAGCACCAAAUGUCAGGACAAGGCCUGAAUCCAAGGGAGGUUUUAUUGCUCUUCCACAGUGAAUAAUACUUGUUAGAGGAAGGGUCACAGACCACACGGUCUAGUGCCUUAGUUAAGUCCAUAAUGGAGGUAAAUGCAUCUGCUAAUAUCAAUUAAUUAUGUCCCUGCCCAAAGUUAAGCACCCUUCCUGUACAAUAAUCCUACCAUUAUCUGGUAAUGAUUUUCAGAAGGACUAAAAUUUACAUUUAAGUAAGUUUUAUACAGAAAUAAUGAGUCCCAUCAACACCACAUAGGGCUGGUUGAAUAAGAUAUGACACUAACCUUUUGACUUAUUAUUGGAUGCACACAGCAUGGAGAAGUUUAUUUCCAGCCAAAUAUUAUCCAUUCUUCCCUAAGGAACUUAGUGAGAUCCUGUCGCUAAAUAAAACAUAAAAACAAAAAAAUCUUAAUACACCAGAUUACAAAUCAGGUACAAAAGGGGCUUUUUCUAAAAGGAAGCAAAGUGCAU